UCCAGACUCCUACGGGAGGCAGCAGUGGGGAAUAUUGCACAAUGGGGGAAACCCUGAUGCAGCGACGCCGCGUGAAGGAAGAAGUAUUUCGGUAUGUAAACUUCUCUCAGCAGGGAAGAAAAUGACGGUACCUGACUAAGAAGCCCCGGCUAACUACGUGCCAGCAGCCGCGGUAAUACGUAGGGGGCAAGCGUUAUCCGGAUUUACUGGGUGUAAAGGGAGCGUAGGCGGUGAUGCAAGUCAGAAGUGAAAGCCCGCAGCUCAACUGCGGGACUGCUUUUGAAACUGUGUAACUGGAGUACAGGAGGGGCAGGCGGAAUUCCUGGUGUAGCGGUGAAAUGCGUAGAUAUCAGGAGGAACACCGGGGGCGAAGGCGGCCUGCUGGACUGAAACUGACGUUGAGGCUCGAAAGCGUGGGGAGCAAACAGGAUUAGAUACCCCUGUAG
rnacentral:rRNA from 1 species